UGUGUUGUGUUUACUAGCAGAAUUGUGUUCUAUUCAUUUAUGUAAAAUAAUAUCUGAUCAUUGAAUUAAUUUAGAUGAACUUAGCAUUUGUCUUUAACUUUUAAACUUUGAAUAAUUUGAUUCAAUGAAAAUACACGCCAACUGUCUCAUGCUGUUAAGUUCACAUUUUAGAAAGUGUCAUCUUAGUUACACAUGCACCAUUGUUGUAAUCUUAAUUGUUGGUUGUAAAAAUUUUUAUUUGUUGCAGUUGUUUUAUGUGCUUAUUUGUAAGGUGUUUUUUUUAUUGUUGAAUUUAGUGAAUAUUUUUAGAAUAUCGUCAAUUGUUUUCCACGUAAUUUCAUGUCAAGCAGAAUAUAAAUUCCUACAUUUUGCACUAGUACUGACAUAGUUUAUGUUUAUUGAUUAUUUUUAUCAAUUUGAUUAAAACCAAAUCUCUUAUUGGCUUCUACAAAUUUAUUUAUAAAAUUAUUUUUUGUAUAUUUUAAUAUUUUGCCUUGUUUUGAGAUUUAAAAUCUACAGUGUUUUAAAAUAAUUUGUUUGAUAUUUGUAAAAUUUGAAAUUUGUAAAAUUUGAAUCAAAUGCUUUUUUAUAGUUUAUGCAAUAAAACAAAUUAGAGCUACAUGUAAUGAGAUACUGGUUUUCAUGAUAAACCCACGUACCUUG
rnacentral:misc_RNA from 1 species